CGGUCACGUUCGUUGCUUUCCUCGCUUAAUUGUAUGUUGCGUUAUUGUAUAAAUGACAAACACACACAAUUUUUUAAAUUUCAUUUUGUUUUUUUAAUUAAAAAAAAACGCAACAAAAUAUAAAAAAUUGAGGGGUCAAACAUACUAGCAAACAUACGUUAUUAAUAAGCUCUUAGUGAAACGCAAUUAAGCAGACAGAUCACUCCACGAACUAAGAACGGCCAUGCACCACCUAUCACAUAAUCAUGAAAGGACUAGCAUAUUUACAUACAAAAAUAAUUUCCGCAAAAGCUUCAAUUAUUUAAGUAAUAUUGCCUGUCAAUCCUCAGUGUGUCCGGACCCGGUAAGAUUUCCCGCGUUGGGUCAAAUUAAGCCACAUGCUCCACGCGUUCUUGUGGUGCCCUUCCGUCAAUUCCUU
rnacentral:rRNA from 1 species